rnacentral:tRNA from 1 species
GGGAAGAAAGCAUAAGUAUGCAGUUAAUUUGAAAUUAACCGAUGGUGGUUAAAUCUACCUUUUCUCG